CCUACGGGUGGCAGCAGUGAGGAAUAUUGGUCAAUGGACGAGAGUCUGAACCAGCCAAGUAGCGUGAAGGAUGACUGCCCUAUGGGUUGUAAACUUCUUUUAUAAAGGAAUAAAACGAGGCACGUGUGCCUUUUUGCAUGUACUUUAUGAAUAAGGAUCGGCUAACUCCGUGCCAGCAGCCGCGGUAAUACGGAGGAUCCGAGCGUUAUCCGGAUUUAUUGGGUUUAAAGGGAGCGUAGAUGGGUUGUUAAGUCAGUUGUGAAAGGUUGCGGCUCAACCGUAAAAUUGCAAUUGAUACUGGCAGUCUUGAGUACAGUUGAGGUAAGCGGAAUUCGUGGUGUAGCGGUGAAAUGCUUAGAUAUCACGAAGAACCCCGAUUGCGAAGGCAGCUUACUAAACUGUGACUGACGUUGAUGCUCGAAAGUGUGGGUAUCAAACAGGAUUAGAUACCCGGGUAGUC
rnacentral:rRNA from 1 species